UGGGAAUUUGGACAAUGGGCGAAAGCCUGAUCCAGCAAUGCCGCGUGUGUGAAGAAGGCCUUCGGGUUGUAAAGCACUUUUGUCCGGAAAGAAAUCCUUGGCUCUAAUACAGUCGGGGGAUGACGGUACCGGAAGAAUAAGCACCGGCUAACUACGUGCCAGCAGCCGCGGUAAUACGUAGGGUGCAAGCGUUAAUCGGAAUUACUGGGCGUAAAGCGUGCGCAGGCGGUUUGCUAAGACCGAUGUGAAAUCCCCGGGCUCAACCUGGGAACUGCAUUGGUGACUGGCAGGCUAGAGUAUGGCAGAGGGGGGUAGAAUUCCACGUGUAGCAGUGAAAUGCGUAGAGAUGUGGAGGAAUACCGAUGGCGAAGGCAGCCCCCUGGGCCAAUACUGACGCUCAUGCACGAAAAGCGUGGGGAGCAAACAGGAUUAGAUACCCUGGUAGUCCACGCCCUAAACGAUGUCAACUAGUUGUUGGGGAUUCAUUUCCUUAGUAACGUAGCUAACGCGUGAAGUUGACCGCCUGGGGAGUACGGUCGCAAGAUUAAAACUCAAAGGAAUUGACGGGGUCAUA
rnacentral:rRNA from 1 species